rnacentral:tRNA from 1 species
AGUAGAGUGGCUGAGACGGUUAAGCGGUAGAUUGUAAGUCUAUUAAGGGGCAUUGUCCCUCUACUA